rnacentral:rRNA from 1 species
AACGAACGCUGGCGGCAUGCCUAACACAUGCAAGUCGAACGAGACCUUCGGGUCUAGUUGCGCACGGGUUCGUAACGCGUGGGAACCUUCCCUUAGGUUCGGAAUAACUCCCCGAAAGGGGUGCUAAUACCGGAUAAUGUCUUCGGACCAAAGAUUUAUCGCCUUUGGAUGGGCCCGCGUUGGAUUAGCUAGUUGGUAGGGUAAAAGCCUACCAAGGCGACGAUCCAUAGCUGGUCUGAGAGGAUGAUCAGCCACACUGGGACUGAGACACGGCCCAGACUCCUACGGGAGGCAGCAGUGGGGAAUAUUGGACGAUGGGCGAAAGACUGAUCCAGCAAUGCCGCGUGAGUGAUGAAGGACUUAGGGUUGUAAAGCUCUUUUAAACGGGAUGAUAAUGACAGUACCGGGAGAAUAAGCGCCGGCUAACUCCGUG